UUCUGCCCUAUCAACUUGUUGGUAGGGUAGUGGCCUACCAAGGUUGUGACGGGUAACGGGGAAUCAGGGUUCGAUUCCGGAGAGGGAGCCUGAGAAACGGCUACCACUUCCAAGGAAGGCAGCAGGCGCGCAAAUUACCCAAUCCAGACAUUGGGAGGUAGUGACGAGAAAUACCGAGGCGGGGCUGUCAAAAGCUUUGCUAUCGGAAUGAACGUAACUUAUAUAAUUCGAUGAGUAACAACUGGAGGGCAAGUCUGGUGCCAGCAGCCGCGGUAAUUCCAGCUCCAGUAGUGUAUUUCAAAAUUGUUGCGGUUAAAACGCUCGUAGUCGAAUUAUAAGAACGUUAACUUUUUCAUUUGCGUGCUUAUGCGUUAGCAAAUUGUUAAGUGACGUUCUUUUGUCGCAAGUACCAAGUGUGAGCUUCAAUGCUUGUGCUUGGUCGCUUGCGAAGCGUGCCUUGAAUAAAGCAGAGUGCUCAAAGCAAGCGUAACGCUGGAAUGUAAUAGCAUGGAACGAAUUGAAUAGCGUAGGUGUUUUCCAGUUGGUUGGUGGGGCUGCUGGAGUGUACGGUAGCAAUUGUUCGAAGGAAUAGUUGUUUGUCGUGCACUCUGUCUGUCCACCUAGUAAGGCAUCUUACUAGGUACUGGAUAGCCUAUCGGUUAAGAGGGACAUUUGAGGGCGUUAGUACUUGGUGGCGAGAGGUGAAAUUCUUAGACCCACCAAAGACUGACAAAUGCGAAAGCAUUCGCCAAGAGUGUUUUCAUUGAUCAAGAACGAAAGUUGGAGGUUCGAAGACGAUCAGAUACCGUCCUAGUUCCAUACAGUAAACGAUGCCAACACGGGAUCAGUCU
rnacentral:rRNA from 1 species